rnacentral:rRNA from 1 species
GGAAGGUGCAAGCGUUAAUCGGAAUUACUGGGCGUAAAGCGCGCGUAGGCGGUUAGAUAAGUCGGGUGUGAAAGCCCCGGGCUCAACCUGGGAACUGCAUUCGAUACUGUUUGACUAGAGUGUGAUAGAGGGAGGCGGAAUUCCGCAUGUAGCGGUGAAAUGCGUAGGGAUGCGGAGGAACACCAAUGGCGAAGGCAGCCUCCUGGAUUAACACUGACGCUGAGGUGCGAAAGCGUGGGGGAGCAAACAGGAUUAGAUACCCUGGUAGUCCACGCUGUAAACGAUGUCAACUAGCCGUUGGGAGCAAUUUGGCUCUUGGUGGCGCAGCUAACGCGAUAAGUUGACCGCCUGGGAGUACGGUCGCAAGAUUA